AUCUCGAGGCCCCACCAGGGGAAGAUCUUUCCAGGCAGAGGAUCAGCAAUUCAAAAGCCAGAAGGAAAGAAAGAGCUUCGUGUGCCCAAGUAACAAGAGAGGAGCUGGUGUGGCUGGAACGCAGGGCGUGGGAAAAGGAAUAAAGAAGGAUUGCACUGAGAAGUGAGCAAGGGUCAGACCGCGGAGGACCUUUGUAGCCAUGGAAACGAGUCGUCCUAAGGAAGGGAAUGGCAGGAUCUGUGUUUCAGAGACUGUACUGGCUGCUUGGUAGAAAGCGGAUUUCAAGGUGUCAGCGCGGAGACCAAAAGGACCAGCCAGCUGUCACUGCAGCCGGGGCCAGAGACGAUGGUGGCUCCAUCCAGAGCGGGCAGAUUUUAGGUUCAGUUUGGAUGAGAAGUGAGGAAAGAAUGAGAAAGGACUCAGGUUUCGACCUUGAUGACGACACCAUGACCCGACUGGAACAGCCAGGGGAGGGGACGGCUGCUGUUCUGGACAUGCUCUAUUUGUGAUGUCUGUUAAUGAAUAGUGGAGCAAGGGCAGGAUCUGAGCGGGAGAGGUCGGCGGAGGAGGAGGAGGCCAGGGAGGUCUGAGAAGAGAUGAAAACAGACCCAACAGGAGUCUCAGAGAGAGAGGAAGCAAAUUCAACCAGGGAAGUGGAAUCAGGCUUCUGGGGAGCAUUAGAUGUCUCUCUCUUUUUAAAAUUUGUGGCCACCAAGAUAAGGUGAAGCAGAGCAGCCCGGGUGGGCGAUGUCCUCCUGUAACAUUCAACUGCAGGGUACAGACUGAUGGUCCGCUCCCACCAGUAAUGAGCUUUCCUUCCACGUGAAGAAAUAAAAAGAGAGUGGAGGAACGUUUUGAAUCAUGUCAUCGUAGGAUAUGGAAUCUGCACUGGGCCCUGGAGGUGGAGGGACAAAUGGAAGAAACUGAGUCCCAACGUCCGUGGAGAAAGGAGUAUUAACACCAGUGCCCAAGGAUCUCGGAAGGAAAUAGAGGAGGCUGCAUACGUGGCGGUGACCCAGGCUGCGGAGCAGUCAGGGAAGGACAUUUUCCUGGAGCCAGGGUGGUCACCAGACAAAGCAAGGGAACAGCAAAAUCCCUAAGCAAGGACUUGAUACCUUCAAGACCUGGAAGAACCAGAGAGUCCAGUGUACGGAGGGAGGUGAGGGGCCAUGAUGAGCGAACGUCACAAAGGUGACCCCCGGCCCCAAGGCUGAGUGAGACGUCCCUUCUCUGCGUCUCAUAUUUAGCAAGUUCUCGAGUUCCUGGUCUGGUGGGCACCAGUCUCUGAGCUUCAGAUGCCUGGCACGGGUCCAGGCACAGAGCAAACUGAUGCUCACUUGACAGAUCUGACGUGAGCCCCCAGGAGAACGUGGCAACUGUGAGCAGAGUCUGGGUGACAGCCCCUGUGGCCUCCCAACCGUGGGGCACAAGUUAAUUCGGCUGUCAACAAUGAGAUAAGAGCUUACCUCUGGGUUAUGAGGGGAACGCAAGGCUUCUCCCUGAGGGCUGGGGGCCACCUCAUGGCUGCGCCAGAGUCAGGCAAAAUUCUGUCCCCUCUUCCUCGAGGGCCAUGCGGCUUUCUUGCUUGCCCCUUUCAGGACUUAAAUCUGACCUUAGGGCUGGGCACAGUGGCACAUGCCUGUGCUGUAAUCCCAGUGGCUCUGUGCUGCAGUCCGGCUGCAGCAAAAUAACCGGGGGGUGACGAACAACUUGUGUACGUUGAUACAGCAGGAGUGGGAGCCGUUUAUUGUAGGACAGGAGCGAUAUUUAUACAUUCCACACAGCUUAUCUAAUUAACAUAAAAUAGAUACAGCAGUCAACCAAUCAGGAAUCUCCACACUUAAUGGCUCGCUGGCUCCACCUCACAAACCACUCCCCCUGGCAAAAUGCCAGGCGCCAUCCAGACUUGUUUACAGACCUUAACAGCUCUGGAGGCUGAGGCAGGAGGAUCUUGAGUUCAAAGCCAGCCUCAGCAAAAGCGAGACUAUAGGCAACUCAGUGAGACCCUGUCUCUAAGUAAAAUACAAAAUAGGGCUGGGGAUGGGGCUUAGUGAUUGCAUGCCCCUGAGCACAAUCCUUAGUAUAAAAAAAAAAAAAAAAAAACUUCUGACCUUCUGGAAAGUCCUCCCUGAUCACUCAGCCCCGGGAACUUCUAUGCCCAUUCCCCGCAGAGCCCUUAUCUCUCUUACCAUGCCAUGCAGCUUGCAUAUCUUCUCUGUUUAUUCCCUGUUUCCCCAUCACCUGAAUGUGAGCUCCACAGAGGCAAAGGGGUUUGCUUAUUUGUUAGCUGCUGUGCUCAAUAAACCUUUGUUGCAUGUUUAUUGAAUGAAUAAAGGAUACCAGAGCCAGACGA